GAGAACAUGAAGCAGCUACUAGUCAGUCUCUCUCAAUCGCACAGCACCGUAAAUCCAGAGAACAACAGACUUUGAUGACAAAAUGUGCCCACGAAGGACCGCCGCGCCACCUUCCUGUUCAAGUGAGCACAGCACAACAAGUUAUCCUACGGUUUCUGACUUGGUGUACAGGGAGAACACUUUACCUCUCUUGCUCCUGUUCCACAUCUCACCACCUUCCUCUGGAUAUCACUCACCACCAUUACCUUGGAUUCCCCUCAGGACCUGUUCCCCUGUUCUACUCAGCCAACUUGAACCUCACUCUACACUCCUGGUUUUUGCAACUCGUCUGAGCUACACCGGUUCUGCACUCCCCAUUUCUGUGUUCAAAAAAAAUAAUUGCAUUCAUCCCGGCUUCCUCUUCUGAGUCCGCUCUUGGGUUCCCCCCUUCGCUCAUCGUAACACCCUUUAUGCCAUAGCUUGUACAUCUCAAUUGUCAGUAGAAACCACAUUUGAUUAAGCAAGUCAGCCAUAUCAGCUAUGUUUUUUUUAUUUUUUAAAGGCAACAAAUGAAGCUGAAUGAAUUGUUUCGCUGCCAGGCAAGGCUCUGUUGAUAC
rnacentral:lncRNA from 1 species